AUGGCCGUCGUCAGUUCGUACUGUGAAGCAUCCUCGUUAAGUCAGGCAACGAGCGAGACCCACGUCCACAGUUGCCAGCAUACCCUCCGGGGUGGAUGGGUACACUGUGGAGACCGCCGCUGCUAAAGCGGAGGAAGGAGUGGGCAACGGUAGGUCAGUAUGCCCCGAAUCUCCCGGGCUACACGCGGGCUACAAUGGUUGGUACAAUGGGCAUCUACCCCGAAAGGGGAAGGAAAUCUCUUAAAGCCAAUCGUAGUUCGGAUUGAGGGCUGCAACUCGCCCUCAUGAAGCUGGAAUCCGUAGUAAUCGCGUUUCAACAGAACGCGGUGAAUACGUCCCUGCUCCUU
rnacentral:rRNA from 1 species